rnacentral:rRNA from 1 species
AUUGAACGCUGGCGGCAUGCCUUACACAUGCAAGUCGAACGGUAACGCGGGGCAACCUGGCGACGAGUGGCGAACGGGUGAGUAAUGCAUCGGAACGUGCCCAGUAGUGGGGGAUAGGCCGGCGAAAGCCGGAUUAAUACCGCAUACGACCUACGGGUGAAAGGGGGGGAUCGCAAGACCUCUCGCUAUUGGAGCGGCCGAUGUCAGAUUAGCUAGUUGGUGGGGUAAAGGCCUACCAAGGCGACGAUCUGUAGCUGGUCUGAGAGGACGACCAGCCACACUGGGACUGAGACACGGCCCAGACUCCUACGGGAGGCAGCAGUGGGGAAUUUUGGACAAUGGGCGAAAGCCUGAUCCAGCCAUGCCGCGUGCGGGAAGAAGGCCUUCGGGUUGUAAACCGCUUUUGUCAGGGAAGAAAUCUUCUGAGUUAAUACCUCAGGAGGAUGACGGUACCUGAAGAAUAAGCACCGGCUAACUACGUGCCAGCAGCCGCCGUAA